AUAACCUCAACCUCCCUCGAGGGGUUGGAUUUUGGACGCCUGUGGCGCAUGUUUUGUUGCCGCUCGUCUUGAAAUGCAUCGGUCGUUGUUCUCCCACCUGUUGCCCGAUCUGACGGCAUUUGAUAACCGUUUACGUUUUUAAAAUGCUCGAGCCGGCCUGUCGUGGGUGGUAACGAUGACCCGCCCCGUAAUACAUUACAUACAA
rnacentral:misc_RNA from 1 species